rnacentral:snRNA from 1 species
GUGUGUAACAACUCACCUGC